rnacentral:rRNA from 1 species
CGGAACGGGUGAGUAAUGCGUGACCAACCUCGCCCCAUGCUCCAGAAUAGCUCUUGGAAACGGGUGGUAAUGCUGGAUGCUCCAACUUGACGCAUGUCUUGUUGGGAAAGUGUUUAGUGGCAUGGGAUGGGGUCGCGUCCUAUCAGCUUGUAGGCGGGGGUAAUGGCCCACCUAGGCUUCGACGGGUAGCCGGCCUGAGAGGGCGGACGGCCACAUUGGGACUGAGAUACGGCCCAGACUCCUACGGGAGGCAGCAGGU